rnacentral:rRNA from 1 species
CUUGGUCAUUUAGAGGAAGUAAAAGUCGUAACAAGGUUUCCGUAGGUGAACCUGCGGAAGGAUCAUUAUUGAUUUUUAAAGAUGUGCGGGCACUCCUUCACCGGUUUGCAUGUGCACUCUGCAAAAUCUCCUUCUCUUACCCCACUGUGCACACCCAAGUAGACAAACAGAGUUACAGAGCAAUCUGUGUAAUUCCUGAUUUGCCUAUGUUUUUAUCAAACACCAAUAACAAUAUCAGAAUGAUCUAUAUAGUAAGCUUUUAACAAGCUGAAAUUUAAUACAACUUUCAACAAUGGAUCUCUUGGUUCUCGCAUCGAUGAAGAACGCAGCGAAUUGCGAUAUGUAAUGUGAAUUGCAGAAUUCAGUGAAUCAUCGAAUCUUUGAACGCACCUUGCACCCUCUGGCAUUCCGGAGGGUAUGCCUGUCUGAGUGUCAUUAAUCUCUCAACACAAGAAACUUUGUCUUCUUGUGCUUGGAUAUUGAAGGUUUUGCUGGCGCAAACAACUGUCAGCUCCUUUUAAAUGUAUUAGCAGAGCAGUAUGGGACUGGCCUCGGUUUGAUAAGAAACUUUAUUUAUGCUGUCGCUGGGUUUUCCUCUUUGUGCUCAGCUUCAAAUUGUCUUCGGACUGUCUCUUGAGGCAACAAAAUCUCUAUUGAUCGACCUCAAAUCAGGUAGGACUACCCGCUGAACUUAAGCAUAUCAAUAAGCGGAGGA